CAGCACCUCAAGUGGUCAGGAUGAUUAUUGGGCCUAAAGCAUCCGUAGCCUGCUUUGUUAGUUUUCGGUUAAAUCCAUACGCUCAACGUAUGGGCUGCCGGGAAUACUGCAAAGCUAGGGAGUGGGAGAGGUAGACGGUACUCGGUAGGAAGGGGUAAAAUCCUUUGAUCUAUUGAUGGCCACCUGUGGCGAAGGCGGUCUACCAGAACACGUCCGACGGUGAGGGAUGAAAGCUGGGGGAGCAAACCGGAUUAGAUACCCGAGUAGUCC
rnacentral:rRNA from 1 species